rnacentral:rRNA from 1 species
UACAGAGGGUGCGAACGUUGCUCGGAAUUACUGGGCGUAAAGCGCGUGUAGGCGGACUCGCAAGUCAGAUGUGAAAUCCCCGGGCUCAACUCGGGAACUGCAUCUGAAACUGCGAGCCUUGAGUACCGGAGAGGGUGGCGGAAUUCCUGGUGUAGAGGUGAAAUUCGUAGAUACCAGGAGGAACACCGGUGGCGAAGGCGGCCACCUGGACAGUAACUGACGCUGAGAUGCGAAAGCGUGGGGAGCAAACAGG